rnacentral:misc_RNA from 1 species
CACCAAUCAAGCCUGGCUUGGAAUUGGGCGACGGGUGCCGCUCCUCGUAAAGAGGCCGCGACCCGCGCCCCAAAGACCUUAACCCGGCGGGACGGACCGAAUCUCAGCGUUGUGCAAACUUUUGUCGCUGGCGAGACGGGACGGCCGUGCCGUUAAACCCCCAUCUCUCAA